rnacentral:rRNA from 1 species
CGGUAACAUAAAGAAGCUUGCUUCUUUGAUGACAGCGGCGGACGGGUGAGUAACGCGUAGGCAACCUGCCCCUGACAGAGGGAUAGCCAUUGGAAACGAUGAUUAAAACCUCAUGACACCGUAGAAGCACAUGCUUCAUCGGUCAAAGAUUUAUCGGUCAGGGAUGGGCCUGCGUCUGAUUAACUAGUUGGUGAGGUAACGGCUCACCAAGGUGACGAUCAGUAGCCGACCUGAGAGGGUGAUCGGCCACAUUGGAACUGAGACACGGUCCAAACUUCUACGGAAGGCAGCAGUAGGGAAUCUUGCACAAUGGGCGAAAGCCUGAUGCAGCAACGCCGCGUGAAGGAUGAAGGCCUUCGGGUUGUAAACUUCUGUUCUAAGGGAAGAAACAAAUGACGGUACGUUAGGAGCAAGCCCCGGCUAACUACGUGCCAGCAGCCGCGGUAAUACGUAGGGGGCAAGCGUUAUCCGGAAUUAUUGGGCGUAAAGAGUGCGUAGGUGGUUACCUAAGCGCAAGGUUUAAUUUAGAGGCUCAACCUCUACUUGCCUUGCGAACCGGGCUACUUGAGUGCAGGAGGGGAAAGCGGAAUUCCUAGUGUAGCGGUGAAAUGCGUAGAUAUUAGGAGGAACACUCAGCGGCGAAGGCGGCUUUCUGGACUGUAACUGACACUGAGGCACGAAAGCGUGGGUAGCAAACAGGAUUAGAUACCUUGGUAGUCCACGCCGUAACGAUGAGCACUAGGUGUUGGGCCCGUUAGGGCCCAG